rnacentral:rRNA from 1 species
CCUACGGGUGGCAGCAGUGAGGAAUAUUGGUCAAUGGGCUUACGCCUGAACCAGCCAAGUCGCGUGAGGGAAGACUGCCCUAUGGGUUGUAAACCUCUUUUGUCAGGGAGCAACGCCGGCUACGUGUAGCCGGUCUGAGAUUACCUGAAGAAAAAGCAUCGGCUAACUCCGUGCCAGCAGCCGCGGUAAGACGGAGGAUGCGAGCGUUAUCCGGAUUUAUUGGGUUUAAAGGUUGCGUAGGCGGGCAUUUAAGCCGGCGGUCAAAUGUCGGGGCUCAACCCCGGCCUGCCGUCGGAACGGGGUGCCGUGAGUGGGCGAGAAGUAUGCGGAAUGCGUGGUGUAGCGGUGAAAUGCAUAGAUAUCACGCAGAACCCCGAUUGCGAAGGCAGCAUACCGGCGCGCUACUGACGCUGAGGCACGAAAGUGCGGGUAUCGAACAGGAUUAGAUACCCCUGUAGUC